rnacentral:rRNA from 1 species
GAGCGGAAAGGCCCUUCGGGGUACUCGAGCGGCGAACGGGUGAGUAACACGUGAGCAACCUGCCCCUAGCUCUGGGAUAGCUCCGGGAAACCGGGAUUAAUACCGGAUAAGACCACUUUAGACAUCUGCUGUGGUGGAAAGGAUUCCGGCUAGGGAUGGGCUCGCGGCCUAUCAGCUUGUUGGUGGGGUAAUGGCUUACCAAGGCAACGAUCGGUAGCUGGUCUGAGAGGAUGAUCAGCCACAAUGGAACUGAGACACGGUCCAUACUCCUACGGGAGGCAGCAGUGGGGAAUUUUACACAAUGGGCGAAAGCCUGAUGUAGCGACACCGCGUGAGCGAAGAAGCCCUUUGGGGUGUAAAGCUCUGUCGUGAGGGACGAAAAAAAUGACGGUACCUCAAGAGGAAGCAUCGGCUAACUACGUG